rnacentral:rRNA from 1 species
UGGGGAAUUUUGGACAAUGGGGGCAACCCUGAUCCAGCAAUGCCGCGUGUGUGAAGAAGGCCUUCGGGUUGUAAAGCACUUUUGUCCGGAAAGAAAACGCCGUGGUUAAUACCCGUGGCGGAUGACGGUACCGGAAGAAUAAGCACCGGCUAACUACGUGCCAGCAGCCGCGGUAAUACGUAGGGUGCAAGCGUUAAUCGGAAUUACUGGGCGUAAAGCGUGCGCAGGCGGUCCGCUAAGACAGAUGUGAAAUCCCCGGGCUUAACCUGGGAACUGCAUUUGUGACUGGCGGGCUAGAGUAUGGCAGAGGGGGGUAGAAUUCCACGUGUAGCAGUGAAAUGCGUAGAGAUGUGGAGGAAUACCGAUGGCGAAGGCAGCCCCCUGGGCCAAUACUGACGCUCAUGCACGAAAGCGUGGGGGAGCAAACAGGAUUAGAUACCCUGGUAGUCCACGCCCUAAACGAUGUCAACUAGUUGUCGGGUCUUCAUUGACUUGGUAACGUAGCUAACGCGUGAAGUUGACCGCCU